GUGGGGAAUUUUGGACAAUGGGCGCAAGCCUGAUCCAGCAAUGCCGCGUGCAGGAAGAAGGCCUUCGGGUUGUAAACUGCUUUUGUACGGAACGAAAAGGCUCUGGUUAAUACCUGGGGCUCAUGACGGUACCGUAAGAAUAAGCACCGGCUAACUACGUGCCAGCAGCCGCGGUAAUACGUAGGGUGCGAGCGUUAAUCGGAAUUACUGGGCGUAAAGCGUGCGCAGGCGGUGAUGUAAGACAGUUGUGAAAUCCCCGGGCUCAACCUGGGAACUGCAUCUGUGACUGCAUUGCUGGAGUGCGGCAGAGGGGGAUGGAAUUCCGCGUGUAGCAGUGAAAUGCGUAGAUAUGCGGAGGAACACCGAUGGCGAAGGCAAUCCCCUGGGCCUGCACUGACGCUCAUGCACGAAAGCGUGGGGAGCAAACAGGAUUAGAAACCCCAGUAGUCC
rnacentral:rRNA from 1 species